rnacentral:rRNA from 1 species
GAUGAACGCUAGCGACAGGCCUAACACAUGCAAGUCGAGGGGCAGUAUAAAGGUAGCAAUACUUUGGUGGCGACCGGCGCACGGGUGAGUAACACGUAUGCAACCUACCUGUAAGAGGGGAAUAACCCGGAGAAAUUCGGACUAACACCGCAUAAUACCUCGAAGCUGCAUGGCUUUGCGGUUAAAUAUUUAUAGCUUACAGAUGGGCAUGCGUAACAUUAGAUAGUUGGUGAGGUAACGGCUCACCAAGUCAACGAUGUUUAGGGGUUCUGAGAGGAAGGUCCCCCACACUGGUACUGAGACACGGACCAGACUCCUACGGGAGGCAGCAGUGAGGAAUAUUGGUCAAUGGGCGAGAGCCUGAACCAGCCAAGUCGCGUGAAGGAAGAAGGUUCUAUGGAUUGUAAACUUCUUUUGUAAGGGAAUAAAAAAGCUUACGUGUAGGCUAUUGUAUGUACUUUACGAAUAAGGAUCGGCUAACUCCGUGCCAGCAGCCGCAGUAAGAC